rnacentral:tRNA from 1 species
GGAGAGAUGGCUCAAUGGUUAAGAGCACUGACUGCUCUUCCAGAGGUCCUGAGUUCAAUUCCCAGCAACCACA